UUUCCGUAGGUGAACCUGCGGAAGGAUCAUUACUGAGUGAGGGCCCCCCGGGGUCCAACCUCCCACCCGUGUUUAACGAACCUUGUUGCUUCGGCGGGCCCGCCUCACGGCCGCCGGGGGGCAUCUGCCCCCGGGCCCGCGCCCGCCUAAGCCACCUGUGAACGCUGUCUGAAGUAUGCAGUCUGAGACAAUUAUUAAAUUAAUUAAAACUUUCAACAACGGAUCUCUUGGUUCCG
rnacentral:misc_RNA from 1 species